rnacentral:rRNA from 1 species
CCUACGGGAGGCAGCAGUGGGGAAUAUUGGACAAUGGGCGCAAGCCUGAUCCAGCAAUUCCGCGUGGGUGAAGAAGGUCUUCGGAUUGUAAAGCCCUUUCGUUGGGGACGAUGAUGACGGUACCCAAAGAAGAAGCCCCGGCUAACUUCGUGCCAGCAGCCGCGGUAAUACGAAGGGGGCUAGCGUUGCUCGGAAUGACUGGGCGUAAAGGGCGCGUAGGCGGCACAACUCGUCAGGCGUGAAAUUCCUGGGCUUAACCUGGGGGCUGCGUUUGAUACGGUUGGGCUAGAGGAUGGAAGAGGCUCGUGGAAUUCCCAGUGUAGAGGUGAAAUUCGUAGAUAUUGGGAAGAACACCGGUGGCGAAGGCGGCGAGCUGGUCCAUUACUGACGCUGAGGCGCGAAAGCGUGGGGAGCAAACAGGAUUAGAUACCCUGGUAGUCCACGCUGUAAACGAUGUGCGCUGGAUGUUGGGUAACUUAGUUACUCAGUGUCGUAGCUAACGCGAUAAGCGCACCGCCGUGGGAGGUACGGCCGCGAAGGUUAGUAAACGUUAAAGGUAAGUUAGACGG